UGGACAAGAAACAAGAUGUGU
rnacentral:siRNA from 1 species